rnacentral:rRNA from 1 species
GUGUAACAACUCACCUGCCGAAUCAAUUAGCCCCGAAAAUGGAUGGCGCUGAAGUGUGCGACCUAUACCCGGCCAUCGGGGCGAGUGCGAUGCCCCGAUGAGUAGGAGGGCGUGGGGGUUGUGGCGCAGCCUUGGGUGUAAACCUGGGUGAAACGACCUCUAGUGCAGAUCUUGGUGGUAGUAGC